AACCAAACUCGUCUAACUAUAAUGGUGUUCACAGUUGCAUAUAAAGUUGGCAGUAACAAUAAGCAAUUUCUCGUGUCUAUCAAAUGGUCUCUUAAUUUUGAAUUAGGCCUCGAACAACUUGAGGUGAU